GUGGGUAUAGCUUAGUGGUAGAACACAUGCCUAGCAUACACAAGUGCCCUGGGUUCAAUCCCCAGUACCUCCA
rnacentral:tRNA from 1 species